AGCUUUGCGCAGUGGCAGUAUCGUAGCCAAUGAGGUUUAUCCGAGGCGCGAUUAUUGCUAAUUGAAAACCCUAGAGCCAAACAUGACAUACUUACAAGUUAGAGUGAGGUACUCCCUAAACAUUACAAAACAAGAAAUUAAAAUUUCCCUUCAUGAUUUAAAUUG
rnacentral:snRNA from 1 species